AAGAACCUAGAGAGAGAAAACACAAGUCAUGGAGGCACCUCCCCCUCCUGCGUCUACCACGGGCCUAGCAAUCCAUCCACCCCACCGACUGUCUCAAAGGAGGCUAACAGGACCUGGUGAAGAGCCCCACAGAUGCACGCCCAAGAGUGGUUCUCUCUUCGUAAGGCCUGGAGUGGGGGGUCAGAAGCUCACCCCUUGUAGAAGGCUCGGGGCCCCUCCUUCCGGAGCAUGGUGAGGGCACAGUGGCCUGCGCUGUGGUACUGGCCCACGGCAGAGUUCAUAUAUCUCGUCUUGACCACAUCGACAGGGGAGGCGAUGACCGUGGUGCAGAAGCCCGCCCCGAAGGCGGAAGUGAAGUGGCAAGGGAGGUCAUCUGCCAGAGAGCAGCAGGAAAAGCUGUCAGCUCUCCCCAGCCGACCCUCACCAGUCAUAGGUGACAAACAUCACCCGUGAGUUUUAAGUUAAAUAAAACCUAGAGUUUUAA